CAAAGAAGCAGCAGGAGGAUGAGAAAGAGGAGAAGGAAGAGGAGGGCCUGGUCCUUGAAGGUCUGCAAUUCUUGUGGAACUCCAAGUGCGCAGGACAUAAUUCUACAGGUCGAGGAGUUUCGCAGACAUAACUCCUUGGGAGCAGUGCCCAGGUCAAGAAAGAAAAUGUGGCCAAUGCCCCAGGAUCUUAUUUGGUCAUCCAGGCUGGACUGCAGUGGUGUGAUCAUAGCUCACUGCAGCCUCAAACUGCUGGACUCCAGUGAUCUUCCAGCCUCAGCCUCCCCCGGUAGCAAGGACUACAGGUCUCACUCUCUGUCGCCCAGCCUGGAGUGCAGUGGCAUCAUCUGAGCUCACUACAACCUCCGCCUCCCGGGUUCAAGCGAUUCUCCUGCCUCAGCCUCCUGAGUAGCUGGGACUACAGGCACGCGCCACCACGCCCAGCUAAUUUUCGUAUUUUUAAUAGACAUGGGGUUUCACCAUGUUGGCCAGGCUGCUCUUGAACUGCUAACCUCAAGUGAUCCACCAGCGUUGGCCUCUCAAAGUACUAGGAUUACAGUGCUAGGAGCCACCAUGCCCGGCCGCCUCUCUUUUCUUUUACACAUGAAGAAAAAGUGGUCAGAGAAGUUAACUUGGUCAGUGCCAAAAGCACUGGAAGUGAGUAGGACCAAGCUUUUCAUCUAGAUUUGUUUGUUAGACUCUAAAUCCAAAUUCACAACAAGAUCAGAAUAUGAGAAACCUAAGGAACAAAAUUCUAGGAAUCAUUUCUAGAAACUGUGGCUAUUGAAAAAGCACAGACCUAGGGAAUCAAAUUAUUUUCCCUGCCACCAGCACAUGGGUAGGCCUGUGACAAAUUCCAUGCUCUGGACCCCAGAUUCCUCAGUGAGAAUAGAAGGGGCUAGAGACAUCAGGGAAUUGGAUUUGGUGACUUUAAUACCCACUCAGCUCCAAAGCAUUCUUGAAUGAUGCACGAUUUAUGAAUAUAUAUAUUGAAAUUUACUGAUGGGUGAACAGCUCUCAACAUGAGAUUUUUGUUGUAUGCCUUAAAAAAGAUUAUACAUAAAUAUGCGUGUGUGUGUGUAUGUAUGUUUCGAUGUAUAUGAACCCAUGAUCUGAAAAAUGGCCACUGUGGCUUGUGGAAACCUAUUAAUCUCUGCUGUUCCACCCAACAUCCUCAGAGAAAAAAAUAAACAACUUUUUGAAAGUGCUGCCAUGGGGUCAGACCAAAUACUGUGGCCACUUCCAAGGGGUUUGCCUUGAUUUGCCUGGAUUCCUGUUCAUGUGACAUCUGCCUUCUAAUUCAAGGAUAUGAUCAAUUCAAUGUGUGAGUUAUCAAUCAAGGACUGGCAACAGUGAUGCUGAACAAGCCUGGUGGAAGGAAAGAGAAGGCAGGCCAGAGCCCAGACAGACGCAUUCACAAACCUUACAAAGAGGACAGGCUAAUUAGGGGCUGUAGUUCUCCCUCUCUUUAUAGUUGGUAUAAGAGGAGUGGUAAUCGUAGUGUCCAAAAAUAUAUGGGCUACAUAGUUGCUUAGUAAGCUGUGGGUAUGUGGUUUCUUCUGCAAGGUGCUUUCUUUCUGAUAAAGAGAUUACGUUGUUUGUUUGUUCAUUUAUUGAACAUAUUUACACUUACACACACACACACACACACACACAAUGUUCCAGAUACCGUACUUGGCAAUGGUAGUUAGACCUUGCUCUUGCAAAAUUUAUAAUGAAGUUGGGAAGUGUGGUUUGAUCCCUCAAAGUGUCCAAAUCCUAAUCCCCAG
rnacentral:lncRNA from 1 species